GAUGCAGGUGAUGAUUUCAAGCGACCAAAGCCUGAGAGUUUGUGAUGAAAACUUUUUUUUGGCAACUGAUGCACC
rfam:Chlamydotis undulata macqueenii contig30409, whole genome shotgun sequence.